rnacentral:rRNA from 1 species
UACAGAGGCCUCAAGCGUUGUUCGGAUUCAUUGGGCGUAAAGGGUGCGCAGGCGGCGCGGUAAGUCGGGUGUGAAAUCUCGGAGCUUAACUCCGAAACUGCAUUCGAUACUGCCGUGCUUGAGGACUGGAGAGGAGACUGGAAUUUACGGUGUAGCGGUGAAAUGCGUAGAUAUCGUAAGGAAGACCAGUGGCGAAGGCGGGUCUCUGGACAGUUCCUGACGCUGAGGCACGAAGGUCAGGGGAGCAAACGGG